AGUUAGGUGGCUCAGAAGAUAGAGCACCAGCCCUGAAGUCAGGAGGACUUGAGUUCAAAUCUGACCUAGCUA
rnacentral:tRNA from 1 species